GACAAAUAUACUAAUUCCCUGCGGUGCAGCUGAAACUGUACUCCUAAUUAGCAGUAUGCACCCGCUCCUCCCCUCCGCCCAGCCUCCUCUGGGACCUGUCCCGGGAUGAAAGGUGUGGCCCCUGAGUCUCUGAAGGUGCCUGUCUGUGAUGCGGCCGAGUUCCCCUUAGAGAAACACGUACAACUGUGUCAUUUAAUCGCGUGGGUGAAGGAACUCAAAUAAUGGUAGUUUUGUGCUGACUAGAGGCAUUUUUUAAUUCGGUGAAGGAAAGAGAGAGAGAGAGAGAGAGAGAGUUCUUGCAAGGCCAUCGAGAACAGUUGAGAUAUGUCCCGUCCACAAUUCUGCAUACCCACAUUUCUCCCAUUUUUCCAACACCAACAUGAUGAGUAUUUGUCCUGAACCUUCCCGGCUCUGCCGCGGGGAAGUCUCCAGGCCCUGCUCCUCGGCAUCCAGAGCUGGGACACACAGGCCAAGCUCACGGGUGUGAAAGACAUCAGCCCAAACCACCAGGAACAAGCCUGCAGAUGACAAGAUCCGUUUAUCGUAUCCAGGGGCCUGAGAUGGCUGUACUUGUGCUAACGCUGAACUUAAGGUGGAAUGGCCUUAAUUUUCUCUGCCUCCACAAUAAAGACGUCCAAGAUUCGCGAAGUGAAGAAAUUAAAAUAAGUGGAGAAAAAGCUAACUGUAAAAAAACUUCAUGCCUGUCUAUCCAGAGGUAA
rnacentral:lncRNA from 1 species